UCGAGGGGUAUAAGGAGCUUGCUCCUUAGAGACCGGCGCACGGGUGCGUAACGCGUAUGCAAUCUACCUUUUACAGGGGAAUAGCCCAGAGAAAUUUGGAUUAAUGCCCCAUAGUAUAUUUGAAUGGCAUCAUUUGAUUAUUAAAGUCACAACGGUAAAAGAUGAGCAUGCGUCCCAUUAGUUAGUUGGUAAGGUAACGGCUUACCAAGACGAUGAUGGGUAGGGGUCCUGAGAGGGAGAUCCCCCACACUGGUACUGAGACACGGACCAGACUCCUACGGGAGGCAGCAGUGAGGAAUAUUGGUCAAUGGGCGCAAGCCUGAACCAGCCAUGCCGCGUGCAGGAUGACGGUCCUAUGGAUUGUAAACUGCUUUUAUACAGGAAGAAACACUCCCUCGUGAGGGAGCUUGACGGUACUGUAGGAAUAAGGAUCGGCUAACUCCGUGCCAGCAGCCGCGGUAAUACGGAGGAUCCAAGCGUUAUCCGGAAUCAUUGGGUUUAAAGGGUCCGUAGGCGGCCCAGUAAGUCAGUGGUGAAAUCUCCCGGCUCAACCGGGAAAUUGCCAUUGAUACUGCUGGGCUUGAAUUAUCAGGAAGUAACUAGAAUAUGUAGUGUAGCGGUGAAAUGCUU
rnacentral:rRNA from 1 species